rnacentral:rRNA from 1 species
UUGAACGCUGGCGGCAGGCCUAACACAUGCAAGUCGAGCGGAUGAAGGGAGCUUGCUCCUGGAUUCAGCGGCGGACGGGUGAGUAAUGCCUAGGAAUCUGCCUGGUAGUGGGGGAUAACGUCCGGAAACGGGCGCUAAUACCGCAUACGUCCUGAGGGAGAAAGUGGGGGAUCUUCGGACCUCACGCUAUCAGAUGAGCCUAGGUCGGAUUAGCUAGUUGGUGGGGUAAAGGCCUACCAAGGCGACGAUCCGUAACUGGUCUGAGAGGAUGAUCAGUCACACUGGAAUUGAGACACGGUCCAGACUCCUACGGGAGGCAGCAGUGGGGAAUAUUGGACAAUGGGCGAAAGCCUGAUCCAGCCAUGCCGCGUGUGUGAAGAAGGUCUUCGGAUUGUAAAGCACUUUAAGUUGGGAGGAAGGGCAGUAAGUUAAUACCUUGCUGUUUUGACGUUACCAACAGAAUAAGCACCGGCUAACUUCGUG